UUUUUCCUACGGGGGGCAGCAGUGGGGAAUAUUGGGCAAUGGGCGCAAGCCUGACCCAGCAACGCCGCGUGAAGGAAGAAGGCUUUCGGGUUGUAAACUUCUUUUAAGAGGGAAGAGUGGAAGACGGUACCUCUUGAAUAAGCCACGGCUAACUACGUGCCAGCAGCCGCGGUAAUACGUAGGUGGCAAGCGUUGUCCGGAUUUACUGGGUGUAAAGGGCGUGUAGCUGGGUUGACAAGUCAGAGGUGAAAUCCUGCGGCUUAACCGCAGAACUGCAUUUGAAACUGUUGAUCUUGAGUACUGGA
rnacentral:rRNA from 1 species